rnacentral:lncRNA from 1 species
GUGAAGGAGCAAAGGGGACUCGGCCGCCAUGUUAGGAGUACUGGGACGAUUCCGCGGAGCCGGGCAGAGGUUUUAGGGGAAUGAUUAACAAAGGCGUCCGAAGAAAUCGUUGUUGGAAGGUGACCAAGGUGGAAAGAGACGUUGCUUUGGCCCUGCAAAGUCUGUCACACUAAGAUGAGAAAUGUCCUUUCUUCCUGAAGGUGUCUGAUGUGUAAAAAUAUGAUAUACUUUGUGCUGUUUCCUCCCUUCCCUUUUGCAUAUUAUUCUGAAACAACAUUAACUAGUUACUUUGCGUCAUUGAAGGUAUGCACUUCCCCUCUAUGUUAGGAGUGAAUAAAAUUAAAAAUAGAUCCUUAUAACAAAGAAAGGCAGAUAGAAUGAUUAAAAAUGACCAAAACAUGUUAGAAACAGUCUCUCAGGUGUAUGCAGAUGGUAAUUACAAAAAUACUUUUUCAAAAAAUGA